rnacentral:piRNA from 1 species
GGGAAUUGGUAUCUACACAGAAUAAGUCAUU